GCUUCCUCAGGAGCAUUGGAGUGAUGGGAUCUGUUCGACACAAAGAAGAUAAGCAUGACCCCUGCUCAAGGAUGACACGCGAAGUCGUGAAAUGUUCCAUGUUUCU
ensembl:snRNA U6 U6 spliceosomal RNA